GGGCCCGGCGGUGCGCUGUGGGCGAGCGGCCAUGGCGGCGGCGGCGGCUGAGGCCUGGUUUGGCAGUGGGGGGAGCCUUGCGCCGUCUGGGCCUGGUGGGGACGCCUCACACCGCCGGCUCCGGCUCAGGGCCGCAGCGCAGAGCUCUCGCCCUGGGCCGGGCCCUCCGCGGAGCUCUCUUCGGGCACACAGAGUUCUGCUAAUAAAAUGGUGAAAUCCAAGCAGUGAGGAGUGUACCUUCUCUUUGCAGAGACUGCUUCUAUUGCUUGUGAAGGUUGGUCAGUGUGUAGCACUCCUUUAAGCUGAGGACUUGAGGCCUCUGGGAUGAGCACCUGCUGUGUGAGCUGGUGUAGAAUGUAAGCAAAUGCUUGUAAUUAAAAGUACAUUAGGGAGAAGGCUGUUCAAAGCUGAUGUGAAGAUAUAGUGGAACCUUAGGAGGUGACUGCUCUCUCAAAAUGUAAGUCAUAAUUUAAAGAUGUUUAUAUUUGUGCUUCUCAAGUCAGUGAUAAUGAAAGCUGACUGAAGUUCCUAUCAGUCCACAAACCAAGUGCAUAUGUAAUACAUAGGUAAAGGGAUAUUUUUUUAAGACUUAGUCUUUUGUUGCCAUGAAGGAAAAAACAGUGGAGAAUUGUUUUCCAUGCCUGAGAAGAAGAAUUCUUAUACCUCUCAGAGGAGGAUGAAUAAUAAGGUGUAGUGCAUGUGAAGUGACCUUCACAGAAUAGGAGAAUAGCUAUCACUCUAUUUGGGGCCAGUAUCUGCCAUAAGAAUUGUCAGGCUAGCAGAUAAGUGUUUGUUAGAAUGUGCGGGUAUCAAAGCGCUUUUUGCUGUUAACAGCAUUGUGAAGCUGCUUUAAAGAAUGAUCCAUACUCAAGAAUUGUGCCUAAUUUACUGUGAUGCAGUUAAGAAAUUUCAUGUCAUCUUGAAAUUUCUCUAGCAUUUCAGUAAUUUAACUGUGUUUCUGUUAAGCUGUUCUAGUUGACCUCUUUCUUCCUCCAAGAUCCAGAGAAUGAUUUCUUAGUGACUCAAAGUUACCUGAAAUUAUUCAGUAGUUCAGAGAUCUGUCCGAGUUCUUGAAAACAUGUUUGAGAGCCAAAAUGGAUGGAGAGCUAAUUUUCAUCUGAAGUUUCUGAUACUAGAAGAAAAUUGUUUGAAACUUGAACUAGAGCAAGACUUCUUAGAAGUCAAAAUCUUGAUCUUGAAGUACUUUGAAACUAAAUCAUUUCUUGGCAUAAAAACAGCUUUUGUAAUUGGCUUCUUAAGCUGCUAACUUGUGUUAAGAACAUAAUGGUAUGAGUCAGUAAAACUUACUGUGGAUGGGGGAAAAUGUUGUGACUAUUCAUGAAUAGUUCUAAUAUGGAGUCUUACUGAUUUAGCCAAGAUUGAGGACAAUCUCUAGAAGGCUACAGUGGAAAGUUCUUUGAGUUGCUAUGGUAAGUAUGCUGAGUGUGUAUGGACUGUAUAAAAUCACUAAAUAAAUCAUUGGUAUAUAAGUGAUGUGUGGAAGUGUUUGUAUCUUACAAGGCAUGGACUAUUAAAAUAAUGGCAUUACUCUUCUAAUAAUCUCAGCUGUGCUUUAAGAGGCCAGACAUCAGAAAGCCUGGAAAUUCUUCAGAACAGUCUUAACUAGAAUUCUUUUUCUUUCACAAAAGAAUUAAAUGUAUCUUGUUUAUCGAUGGUGACAAUUGUAAUUUCAGUUUUAAGUCAUUUCUUAAACUUAUAUAUGGCAAUCUCAUGGAUUAAUUAUUGCUAUGAAGCUUCUUGAGGAAACCCCCUUCUGCCACACAAAGGCGUAUGAUGUUCUGUGAUAUAUCCAAGCUGCGCUGAAUUUCAAGCAUGGAUCUUCUCAUUAUGUACGUGAAGAGUUGGCUGCCAAGAGAUCAACUUCUGUUCUGCAUGCGAAAAGAGAUGCCACAGUGUGCUUAGUGAUGGCAGUGAGUUGUUAAUUAUUAGUAGUUGCAGCUGCCUGACUAAUGCUACAACUUCACAGAAGUAGCACAAGUAGUGAUGGAAAUGCUGCUACAGGGCUUCCUAUUUAUUUGUGAAGGUGAACUUCAGAGAGACAAGUGAGCAACUCUGAUUCUGCUGAUUUUUGAAGGGAAGACAAACACCUUGAAGAUCUGUUGAAGAUAAUGGAUAAUACAGCUAAGUAAUCCUUUUCUAAAACUUCAGUAGAGAAUAGAGAAGAAACAAGAUGGUGAGAUGGUUGACAAAUUAGUGUGGGCCAGUGUAAACUAUUAAGUCAGCAGGACCCUGAGGAAAUGGCCACAAGUUGUACCAGAGGAGGUUUAGAUUAGAUGUAAGGAAAAGCUAUUUCUCUCCGAGAGUGAUCAGGCACUGGAAUGGCCUGCCCAGGGAGGUGGUGGAGUUGCUGUCCCUGGCAGUAUUCAAGAGGCCUCUGGAUGAGGAGCUAUGAGAUACAGUUUAGUAGCUUGUGGUAGUAAUGGUAAUGGGAGAACAGAUGGACUAGAUGAUCUCGUAGGUCCUUUCCAACCUUAUAAUUCUAUGAUUCUAUGAUCAGGUUGAUCUGCAGAAAUCCCCACUAUUUUAUUUCCUUUAACGUACCCAUUCUGUAGUACCCUUAUUUCAGAGAGUGUUGAGAAUGUUUUGAAUGUGCAGCAGAAUCAGAAUGCAUGAGUGUCCAACCUUCUGGCUUGUCUGGGCCCCACUGAGUGAAGAGUAAUUGUCUUGGGCAGUAGGUUGCUCUGAAAGCAAUGCCUCUUAUUUUCUGGGGACUACAACAGAUACAAUGAGCAUUGUACAAUGUUGCCUUCCCACCAACAUCCACCAUGGACCCUGUGGGCCAAAAUAAUAAAACAGGAGGCAUUACUUCUGCAGCAGCACUUGUAUAGCAUAGUUUUGUUACUUACAUACAUUAACUUACUUUAAUUUCUAGUAUUUCUAUUCAAAUGGGAAAAGAGCAACAAAGCCAUAGAACCAGUGGGAAGUUUGACCUUGUUUUUGUGAAACUAAUGAAUCCAUUUGGUUCAGUGGCAGUGGUUACAAUUCUUAGCGAGUUCUCUACGUUCUCACUGGAGUUUUUUUUAUGAAGCUUUAUUCUCUUCUGUGCUUUGUCCUUGACAACAGUUGUUCACAAAUGUACUACUGCCAAAAGCAAUGACAUGAAUUAGGCAUGACUGUGAAGUGAGGGGUAUUUCUCUUAUAAAAAUCGGGUAAAGAGACAUGAUCAGAUUCUUGAGUUGACUAUCUGACUGCAAAUUUGUACAUCCCAUUUGGGAAAAAUGUAUUUGUGUCAAAGGAAAAUGGAGUUGCGAAUUUACCAAAAUGUUUUUUGCAGUCUUGAAACCAAUUCUCAAAUUCCUUCAUCAAAACUGAAAUCAAGGCUGUAUAUUUUUGCAUUUUGUAGGACUGUUUAGCCAAUGUAUCAAAAGAUAUACAAUUAUUUGCCAUAAUUUGAGUUAGCACUGUGCUCUCUCCAUGCCCUGGUUUCAGCUUGGUGUUAAUAGUGCAGUGAUGUUUGGUUGCUGCUGAGCAAUGGGUGUGUGCCUGGGGCUGGGCAGAGCUGCUGCUGUGGUGGUGGGGGGUGGCUGCCUUGCAAGCUCUGCUGGGCUGCAUGAGGGCUGCAGGUUGGACGUGCCUGUUAUGAUCCCUGCUUAGCCUGAGGAUGUGAGUAUUGAUCAAAACAAGUCUAGAAUAACAGAUUUUACUGGCUGGUGGACUGUGGUUUACUUCUAAGGGGUUCGCAGAAGGUAAGUAGAAACAGCCUUUAAAUUGUUUAUGAAGGCCUAAAUCUUUUUAAGGUUGUUCAGAAUCAGCACGUUGAAAAACACUAAAUCCCUGACCUGUUAUUAGGUGGAAAACACAGCAUUCUCCAUGGUUCUUCCUUAAUAUUUGAGGGGGAAAAAAAGUAGUAUGUUGAGGCCACUGUUGCAGGUUGUUGCAGAAAGCCCACAACAGAGCCUUCUGCUACGUACAGCUCCUGUAUUUGAACAAGAAAUAGAAGAAUCAUGUUUUUUAUCUUGGUGCUUAAUCAGAUCAAAUGGCUCUGCAAGGGGCCACAUGUCUAUCCCUCUCCUUACAGAUGACAGUGAGGCACAGAAGCUGAAAUAACUUAGCCUAAAAAUGUUUUUGGACAUUAGUGGGGCCAGGAAUAGAACCUAAGGAACAGGAGUCUUCAGGGCUUUCUCCACAGCGUCACAUCACAGCUUUCAGAAGCAUAAGCUUCUACCUAUAAUUUCUGACUAUUUCAUAAACUGUUAAUGUAUGCCUGGUCUAAAAAUACUGUUUUGAAGAGUUGGGACUGACCCACUGGUGACUACUUUAAACCUGGAGGGUUGUUUCUCAUAAGCCUGGAAGAAGCGAGCCUUUCAGAAAUAGAGGUAUCUAUGACUGGUUGAACUUGCUUGCUCAGCAGCUGAAUAUAUGAAUGCUGUUUUGUUGCAGUUGCUCUGACCCCUGGUUCUGCUAAAUCUUCCUCAUCUUACAGUAAAUCAUUGUUAAAACUCUCCGCAUUUGCCUGGAAUCUGUCUCUUGAAAUCUAGCUUGAUUUUUGGGUGACCUUAUUGGGUUGCCUUGUGGAUGAAUGUCUGUGCCUGGUGUGUUGUUUGUUGCUGUACUAACAUGGAUUCUGCAGGAUGAGUAAAGACCUUGGGAAGAAAAAAUUGUGUUAUUUCCUGUAAGUGCCCACUGUUGAAACUUGGUUAUUUAACAUCCUAAUUUUGAUCCUGCCCUAAUAAAAAGUUUUUGGAAGUUGGAAUGAUGUCUCAGCUUUUGUUUGUUUUUUUAAUAAAAAGUAGCUGCUGAGGAGUCCUGGUGGAAUGGUGUUCUGAGUUUCAAAGCAUCAUCAGCGCUCUUCUGGUCAUGUUUCAAAACCAUAUCUGUGGGUGCCUACAAACAUCACCUGCCUCAGGAUUUUCUUGGGAGUGUUUUCAGGUUUUGGUGGCAUUGUAGAGUAUCCAAAAGGUGCUUCUUAAGUGGUAUUCAGCACUUCAGUGCUAACUCUGAGGUUUAUGAAGGAGUGAUGCCUACUUCAGUUGUGAACACAAGAAAUGAAAGUGUGGAAGCGAAGCAGUCUGACCAUCAGCAUGUGAAUACGGUGGUAAAAUGUUUUUGCUUCAGAUAUUGAAAGCAAAGCAGGUGAGUGUGGAUUCUAUUAGUAUUAUCUGCCUACUUUACCUUAUAUGUAACUUUUUGUUUGCUGGUGGGAACAAGUUCUUCAUACUAACAAUGAUGAAUAUGAAGAAUCUUGCUAUCUUUCUUUGUUUCCUGGUAGACCACUGCUAUAGAUCUCCUGCUCCAAAAUGCGUCCUUUUCUUUAGGGGGGUUAUUUAAAUGUGGAAGGGUUGUGAGCUUAAUUGCAGUGAGCCUGCCAACAACUGAUCAGAAAAAGUAAAUAAGUAUGGCGCAUCAUGCAUAUGCCUUGUCAGUUUGUUCCAUCUCUAGGUUUGGGCAGCUGGAGGAGAGGAGUUGGGUCCUUGUCCUUCUUAGCCUGGGUUGGAUCUAUCAGUCAUGGCUUAUCUGAUGAGUGAGGGAAAAGGUCUAGUUAACAUUGUGAGUGAUUUAUGGAAGAGAUUUCCCCAGAAAGGGUUUUUGAAUGUCCUGAAGAGUAUUUUGCAGUUAGUGUUUAAUUUGUUGUUGCCAUUAAAAAGCAACUCUGCUCUUCACAGGUGGUGUUUUGCUGUCCCUACCCUGUCCCCUGUUCUGUCAACUAGUACUUAUGCAACAGCGUAGUUAAGCAGGUCAAAGAGGUAAUUUAGCUGAAAAAUAACCUCGCUAGAAGUGCAGCUAGUUUUCAUGUAUGUGUAUAGCUGUUAGCUCAGGGAUGUGGCAGGAAGGCAUGGGUCUUGUGUGGUGAAAAGCUUGGGUUGCACACAGUUGCUGUAAUCCUGGAAUUGCAUGCAAUUUGCCCCUUCCCGAACCUUUGUGUGAAAGCCAUGUUUCAUUAGGUCUGUUUUUCUGGGAUGCCAUCGGAUGUGGCUGUAGGAUCUCUUUGGGCUGCUGAUGAAGCACUGUAUUGUCUCUUGGCUAAUCAAUCCAUUUCAGCAAGUGGAAGCAUGAUCCAGUUUACAGUCACUCAAAGCAUAUGGACUUAAUGACUUUAAGCAGUUUGUUUCCAUUUGUUGCCACGUGGUGGUGAUGUUGGUUGUUCCCUUCUCUCCUACUGCUGAAGGGAAGUGGCGGAUAACAUUGGCAAGGGAUGUCCCAUAGAUAGAUCGGUGCCUCCAGAUGACUCUAACCAGUGCCAUGUGGUUUUGCCAGUUACCAGUAUGGUGAGGAAAUGCAUGCUCCUGUUUGUACUCUUAUUGACAUGUAAGCAUUCCUGUACCUCAGCAGGGUGAGCUAAUCAACAGGAAGUAUUUUGUGACAGACAACACUGACAAAAUAUAAUCAUUUUUCAAGAUAAUGUGCUGCAGGUAUCUCCUUUUGCAUCCUUGGUCGUCAUGGUCCAUAACCCUUUGUUAUGCAGAAGACGUAAAAUCAGGAAUUCAUCCAAGUUAACCAGUAAAGGAUAGCUGGCACUGGGUAUGGGAAGGACUGUUCUCUCCUUCAGUUGCCUACAACUAAUGCCUUGGGUUCUCAUCAGUUUUAUGCUGACAAGCAGAGAUGGGGAAGAGAUCAUCCAUUCAGAACACGUGUUUAAAUGAGAUCAAUAACACUGUAAAAUCCUCUCUGCUGACUACUGAUUAUAAGUGUCAGUGUGAUCUAGGCCUUGAAGAAAUUUAUAUGAUAUAGGUGACAGCAUAGUCACUGGGAGGACAGCUUCCAAAACAGUUACAUCUGAAGAUCUAAAUUUGUUUAAUCAAUUCUGACUUUCCUGCUCUUGUCUGUGUCCAGUAUUACAAACCCAGGUUUGUUGAGGCACUGAAUCUUAUGUCUUCUUGUAGCUCAGUGCUUGUUUCUGUUCUUCUUCACAGCAAAGCAGAAGAGGAAAGUGGAAAACUGAGAUUCUCAUGCAUUUUGAAGCCUUCAUUUCCCUAAGAUGAGAAGGGAAACUUGAAUAAGACAAUAUUAGUCAAACAUUCUAUAGAUUUUUCCAAUUAGGAAUUGUAUAAAAGGAAACAGUGUGUGCUGUCUGUGUGUACAGGUUAUUGUUGGUCACAGUAAGUGCAUGAUUGAGAUGCUGCUCUAGAAUGUUUGUUUUGUAAUCUCCAUUUCUUAAUAGCUGAUCUUUGUCUUUUUUCAUCAAACUGAUGAUCUUAUUUCUGUUUUGAUUAAGUGGAUGACUUUGUCUUGUAAUACUGCUUGGCAAAAACAGGUAUAUUUUGAUAGAAGUUUGGUUUUAGAUUUACAUCUGUAGGUAGCGUUACUUCUGUUGAAGGGGUGCAUUUUAUUUUUUGUUCCAGUGAUAUAUGAUGCAGAAAACAAAUGAGAAUGAGAAAACACAUCAAAUCAAAUGUUCUUCAUGUAAACUCUUUCAACGUGAUGUAUGUUGCAAUGGCUGAUUUGGGGCAGCAUUGGACUCCGGAAUAUGCAGAGCAGUUUUGCAUAGCUCUGAAGAUGUUUGGGUGGAUACUGGAGGUCUAGCCAUCACAAUUAUGUAGUUUCCACAGCCUGCAUGAGUGUCUUGACAGCUGACUAUGUUCUGUUGCAAGACAGUAUAUUGGACUAUGUAUACAUGCCUUCAGUGUUUCAAAACUCAGCCUGUGAGGUGUGGGAGAAAGAAGCUAGCAGUCACAUUUAUGAGUCAAAUUCUUUGGAGGUGUGUGAGAGUAGUUGGUGAAGGAACAUAAAAAGAUGAAGAUCGGGGAAUGGAAUGUUUGGUGUUGGUUUUAAUUAGAAUUGUCCUGCUCAUCAUUCAUACCGUGAGAUAAAAGGGAAAAAUAUCCUCUCUGCACAUGCAGAGAAAAAUAUUUCUAUUACAGUUAGUGAGCAACCCUAAUUGGACUGCCAAAUAUAAAUUUGUCAAAAACUCAUACUGAUUCAGUAUUAAAGCUAGCAAUUAUCUCAGAAGGAAAAAAAAAAAAACAACCAAAAAAAGAAAAAAACACCAAACUAAUAAAGCCCAGUCAGUAAACUUUUCUCUUGUGUAUAUAGGUCUUCUUGUGGCUUUCUCCUUCCAAACAGUAUAAAGAUGGGAUUCAUGUUGUGGUUUGGAAGAGAGCAUGUUUUAAACCAGAGGAGGAAGUCAAUGGAUGACCUUUAGAGCUUAGGGAAGAAGGCUCUUCUGUCUUAGAGGGGCUUUCUUCCAGCUGAGGAGUAACCAGCUGCUCAACCAUACUGCUGUCUUCCCAUAGGUGUGGUGCAGUGACAUGCCAGGAGAGGUAUUUGCUACCCUUGAUUGUAGUUAGUCAUGCUAAGUGACCUGUGCUCUAAUCUCCCAGCAUUGCAAAGCAGCCAAAGUGACCGAUACUGUUACUUCACAUGCUCCUGCAAGGUAGAUUAGAAUCUGCUGCUCCUGAACUUAAUUUGCUGGCAGCAUCUUUAAAAUACUUUCUAGAGCGUUUGGAUCGUAAUCAUUUUUAAGGCUUGAAACUUACUAAAUGAAGCAAAACAAUCUGUUCUCCUUUUGUAUUAAAAAAAAAUAGAUUUAAAUUGUUCUACAUUGUAAAAUCUAAUGUCAGGGUAAGUGUGUGCAAGUAACCUUUUCACCCUCCAGUUGAUACAAAGGACUGUUCUCACUUCACAGAAAUGCCUCUGCGUAGACUGUGGUUCCAUCUGAACCAAUUUGUUUUUGGCUUCUGACUAAAAAGCAUACAAAGAGAUAGUCCAGGCUUCGAUGUCCUAAAACAGGAAACUCAAAAGCGAUGUGGGCCAAUUCAGAGGCAGUCAUUCUGUACUAUGCAGUCAUGGGCCAUUGAAGGAAAAGAAGAAAGUGGCUUUGGGCAAAGUCUGCCUACUUGUAGCAGAAGUCCAAGAGGUAGUCAUCUCUGCAGGUAAAAUGCAAAGUUUGCUAUAUACCUCAGGAUGGAUUAUACUAGUCAAUGGAGAUACAGUAUGUUUCAAGAAUUUACUUAAAAACAAGGAAAAUAAAUUAGUUGAUCUCUCAGACUGCUUCCAGGCAGUAGUUUUUAAACAACUUGUCGUAUGUUUCUUGGCUUUUACAGCUUCACAUAAAAGGUUUUCCUGGUUCAUAAAGGAAAUUAAUGUGAAAUCAAUAAUGGCAUUUAAAAAUUCACCAAACAUUUCCCAUCCGGAGAAAGCCUCUCUCAGAGUGCUACUAAUGAUACAGCAGAGUGGGGAGAACACACACAGCAUUGAUGCUAAAGGCAGACAGAAGGGAAAGCAUCACAGAUAGAAAAUGCAGUGAGGACUGAUGCUUUUGGGAGCCACCAGGAGCAAGGGGGAUCUGCCUGUACCCUGACCUGAACAAACUGUGGGAUCAACUUGCAUGAGGCCUUUGCUUGAAAAUGUAGCCUAGAUGCUGCACUUCCUUCAAGCUAAUGGGUGAAAGUGGCAUGAACAGCAGAGAAAAACUCACUUGAUGGUGAAAAUACCAACAGAAACAUAGUAAGACUUGUUUCUUGUAGUAUAUUACAACUGUAUGACCCCCUGCAUUCCAGGCACUGAAGAGGAUACUUUUGCUGCUUCAGAUUGCUUCAUCCUACUAUCCCAGGAAACCUGGAAUCAUUGUGGAAAUAGGAAAGGCAAGUCAUGGAACAGGAUUUGUUCGUUGUGCUUUCAUUAAAAAUAGGAACUGAGGAGGAACCAUACAAAAGGUACAAGUGAGAUCAUACCUGGUGGUCUGGUGAAUGUAUAUGUGCUUAGGCCACUACUCUACUGAAAAAGUUGCAUUGUAGUUAUAAGUUGUGCAGUUUAAUACCACUGUAACUACUGGCAAUUACCACAUUUAUACCAUUUGUCAGUUUUCCCUUUCUCCCUCCUUUUUCCAGCAUUUUUCUCAGGGUGGCUCAGAAAUAGUGGUGCAGGCCUCUGCAGUCUGAGGUGUGGUGGUCCUUGCUGAAAGGUGGCUUCCUGAUCUCCUGCGCCCAGGAGUGCACCUCUGUGCUGUGCAGCCUCACCUCCAGCACCAGGUGCGGACCUGGGUGCUGCAGUAAAAAAAGGGGGGGGUGGGGCUUAAAGCUGUUUUGGAGCCCAAAGGAGGGCUACAAAGAUGGAGCAGGGUCUGGAGGGCGAGGAGUGUGAGGAGCAGCUGAGCCUCCU